UUUUGCCCUACCGAGGGGGCGGCGGGCAUACACGGGGCUUUAGACAGAAGACCAUUCCUGACAGGCGGGAAUUUGACAAACUUAUGGAAUCCGGGUCCCGGGUAAUAGACUUUGGCCGGUUUUUAAAUCCCGGGACUCGGGAAUUUCGACGCCACAAAAUAAAAAAGGGGAGUAACUGCGAAAGGUCAAAAGACGACGGCGAUAUUUUUAUUCGUGUUUUUGAAGUUGCAGACAUGAAACUUUUCGAGUUUUUCUACGGUAGAGAAAAUUGUGUGAUAUAAAGGCGAGAAGGUUGCCCCAGAAUUGGGAUUUAUUUGCAAAGGUGAACAUUUGGUUGGACCAUUUGACGAGUGUUUCUGCCAAAAGAAAAAGAGGCAAGGCAAAGGCGUCCGAGACACGGUCUUUGAAAAAGGUUAAAACUUCUAUCCAGGCCCAAGCUCCUAUCAAGGUUCAAGCUCCUAUAUAUCAAGCUCCCAUCCAGGCUCCUGCUCCUAUCCAGGUUCUUGAGGAAAGUGCACCAGAUUAAAAACAAUGUGGAAGUGUCCAGGUUUGGCCGCAGGAGGAGGAAGAAUGUCUUUUUAAUGACUUUUUGUGUUAAAUGUUAAAAUAAAAUAAGAAGUUAAAGUGUUGUAAGUUUUUAGCUCAUCUGAGCUGUGAGCACGAGGCUAUUGUGGUCGUGAUCGGUGAAUGUCUGUCUUCGCAAAUCUGGUGUCCUCAACUUUUAGUGUUUUAACACUCCAAGAGGCCACAGAUAUGGUUCAAUUAUAAUUAAGCUUGGUCAGCAUGCUUACCAUCCCUACAUAAACUGGGUCAUGUGGAGUCAGAAACUAGGUUAGUAGGUUUAUUUUGUAGCUAAACUAUAAAAGUAAAAAUAUUAAAGAGCUUAUACGAUCGAUUGUGUGUCUGUGUCCGCAUUGGUUUGAGUUUUUUAAGUCAUACAUUCUAUUCUAUGAAAGAUAUUUAAUUGAAACUAGGUACAGCAUUUAGUGGGACUACCACUACCAUACUAAGAAGGUAUAUAACCUUGAUGCAUUAUUUUCAGAAUCAUGCCCCUUUAUUACUUGAAAAUACCCAUUUUUAUAAAAAAAUAUAUGUAUCUUCAAAGUCUAAUUAUUUAAAUACUAUCAAAGUUAUUAAACUACAAUUGAUACAUAUAUACUCAUUGGGAGUGACUAUACCUACCUUACUUCUGAGGCCCAUUAAUCUGGAUUCAUUAUUUUCCUCAUGAUAAGCCUUUGUACUUAUAUUGUUCAUUGUUUUUCUGAUAACAGUUUUAUUUAUUGAUUGAUCUAUUAGAUAUUUACCCCCUCCCCUACCCCCGGGGCAUUUGAUGCACCAAGCAGGCUCAAGGGUGGGGAUUUAGACAAAAUUGGUUGUCUCUAGGGUGGGGAUUUAGACUUCAAACAUUUUAAGAUGUCAAAUUCCCCUGGGUCAGCCCGC